CAGAUAAUUGGGGUGAAGUCGUAACAAGGUAGCCGUAUCGGAAGGUGCGGCUGGAUCACCUCCUUU
rnacentral:rRNA from 2 species